rnacentral:ncRNA from 1 species
CUUAUCAAGAGUGGUGGAGGGAUAGGCCCUGUGAAACCCGGCAACCUGGACAUAUGUUUAAGGUGCUAACUCCUACAGCGAUGAUCGAAUUUUCAUCGGCUGAGAGAUAAGG